GUAAAUAUAGUUUAACCAAAACAUUAGAUUGUGAAUCUAAAAA
rnacentral:tRNA from 1 species